rnacentral:rRNA from 1 species
AACCUACCUAUCGAGAGGGGAAUAACCCGGCGAAAGUCGGACUAAUACCGCAGUAAAACAGGGGCACCGCAUGGUGAUAUUGUUAAAGAAAUUCGCUGAUAGAUGGGCAUGCGUUCCAUUAGGUAGUUGGUGAGGUAACGGCUCACCAAGCCGACGAUGGAUAGGGGAACUGAGAGGUUGGUCCCCCACACUGGUACUGAGACACGGACCAGACUCCUACGGGAGGCAGCAGUGAGGAAUAUUGGUCAAUGGGCGGGAGCCUGAACCAGCCAAGUCGCGUGAAAAGGAAGAAGGAUCUAUGGUUCGUAAACUUCUUUUGCAGGGGAAUAAAGUGCAGGACGUGUCCUGUUUUGUAUGUACCCUGAGAAUAAGGAUCGGCUAACUCCGUGCCAGCAGCUGC